AGCGAACGCUAGCGGCAGGCUUAACACAUGCAAGUCGAACGGGCACUUCGGUGCUAGUGGCAGACGGGUGAGUAACACGUGGGAACGUACCUUUCGGUUCGGAAUAAUUCAGGGAAACUUGGACUAAUAUCGGAUACGCCCUUCGGGGGAAAGAUUUAUCGCCGAUAGAUCGGCCCGCGUCUGAUUAGCUAGUUGGUGAGGUAAUGGCUCACCAAGGCGACGAUAAGUAGCUGGUCUGAGAGGAUGAUCAGCCACAUUGGGACUGAGACACGGCCCAAACUCCUACGGGAGGCAGCAGUGGGGAAUAUUGGACAAUGGGCGCAAGCCUGAUCCAGCCAUGCCGCGUGAGUGAUGAAGGCCUUAGGGUUGUAAAGCUCUUUUGUCCGGGAAGAUAAUGACUGUACCGGAAGAAUAAGCCCCGGCUAACUUCGUGCCAGCCGCCGCGGUAAAAC
rnacentral:rRNA from 1 species